rnacentral:rRNA from 1 species
AUUGAACGCUGGCGGCAGGCCUAACACAUGCAAGUCGAGCGGAGCGGCGGACGGGUGAGUAAGACCUAGGAAUCUGCCUGGGAGUGGGGGAUAACGUCCGGAAACGGGCGCUAAUACCGCAUAAUAUCAGAUGCGCCUAGGUCGGGUUAGCAAGUUGUGGGGGUAAGGGCCUACCAAGGCGACGAUCCGUAACUGGUCCGAGAGGAUGACCAGUCACACUGGAACUGAGACACGGUCAAGACUCCUACGGGAGGCAGCAGUGGGGAAUAUUGGACAAUGGGCGAAAGCCUGAUCCAGCCAUGCCGCGUGUUUGAAGAAGGUCUUCGGAUUGUAAAGCACUUUCAGCUGGGAGGCGUUACCAACAGAAUAAGCACCGGCUAACUUCGUGCCAGCAGCCGCGGUAAUUC